UACGUAGGGCGCGAGCGUUGUCCGGAAUUAUUGGGCGUAAAGAGCUCGUAGGCGGCUUGUUGCGUCUGCUGUGAAAUCCCGGGGCUUAACCCCGGGCGUGCAGUGGAUACGGGCAGGCUGGAGGCAGGCAGGGGAGAAUGGAAUUCCUGGUGUAGCGGUGAAAUGCGCAGAUAUCAGGAGGAACACCGAUGGCGAAGGCAGCUCGCUGGGACGGUACUGACGCUGAGGCGCGAAAGCGUGGGGAGCAAACAGG
rnacentral:rRNA from 1 species